GUCGGGAGAGCCCAAAGCGCAGAAGUCGGAGAUCGCUGUGGCUGUAGCGGAGGGGGGGGGAGUUACCCCUCCACCUGACCACAAGAGGCCCAUAGGCAACAGCCAUGGUACCCAUCUAGAAUAGCCUGAUCCUGAGCCCCACUUCCACAAGCUUGGCAGCAGCUAUGUGGCUCAACCAGAUAGCACAGAAGAUCUGAAGACCCAAGUCCCAGCAAGCCAAGAAAUUAAUAGACUCUUUGAAUAUCUGGUACCGGAAGAUAAUGAAACUAGUGAUUUGGAGCAGUAGAAGAACUCACGGGAUGAAGUUUCACAUUUGGUGAGGCAAAUAGAGUUUUUAUAGGGCUUACUGCCUUUGAAAACUCUUGAAAAUUUGCUUAGUGGUUUGUGACUCCUGAAACAUAUCAAACCUUGAAAAGCUAUCAGUGAACAGGAUGAGAAAUUCUCUUUCAAAUGCAGUUAGAGGCACUGUAAAAAUGAGCAGUUCUAAACCUACUGCACAAUCAAAAUUGCUCAAAGGAACUACCAUCCCAAAAGGUUUGCAUGUUUCUCUUAUCAGUCAACCAAGAUGAACGGUAAAUUCAAGAAGUCUUAUUAUUAUUGCUUUAUCCAUCUAUCUGUUCUUCCAUCUAUUGUUCAUGUAUCCAUCCAGUAUCUGUGGCAUGCCUGAUUUAAUGCUAGGUGGUCUGCUAAAGUAUUUUAGGUACUGUAGAGCAACAGCAUGCUCACAAAUUUCCUUUGACUUUAGACUAAGUUCUUGAUGCCUUUUCAGUAAAAUAUGCCACAGAGAAUGUAAUGACUAAACAUAAUCCUUCCAAAGCAAAGCAGAAUAUGUGUGAAUUAUUAAGUCUUGGCUGUGUCUGAAGUUUUAGUUCUAAAUGUUAUAAAUUGUUUUCAUUUUAAUGCAAGUAAUACAUUAAUCCAUUUAAUUUGUUAAAAAUUCAAAUAUUCCUG